AAAUAUCUUGAUUGUUCUAAAUUGAAAUUUCAUGACAAAAUAAGUAAUGCAUCCUUAAAAAAAGGCUAUGUGUGCACUUGCCUCUAUUGGUUAUCAUCGACAGGCGUUUAAAAUGAUCGAAAAACUACUUAAAUUUCGCCUCGGUCUGCAAAUCCUGGCGAUAUGCGGCCACCAUGAACAAUAUUAAUAGUGACUUGGCUAGAGUUCCAUGGUUGAUGUUAGCCGAGGAAGAAGAUGGUGAAGGCAAUUCAUGUCGACAGUUGUUCAGCCUCUGUAAUGGCAUGAUUUUGAAGAAACGUGUAUCGGAAGCUAGAGGAAAUCGGUGCAAUUGAUGUUGUUUAUUUUAAUGGUCAAUUUUAUGCAAUUGAGCGUUUGGGGCGCGUAGUGGUUUGCAAUGCUGCUGGUCCUGAACCCUCUCAAACUCAAUUAGUAGCAAAGCUACCAUCAUAUCGACAUUUUGACUGGCACAUUAUAGAAUCACUUGGAUCAUUGUUUAUAGUUGCGAGACAAGUUGAAGAGGUACACCACUUAAGCCUAAUUAGGGACUACAUGAUUCCGCUGGUAUGCAUCCCAGAUCAUCAUGACGAGGAGCUACUGAAUAAUAUUGAGGUCGAUAUAUAAGCCAAUGCAUCUAGUAUUCAUGCUCUACUGACUAUCCUGAUCUAUUUAUACUGUUUGAAGUUAGUGUUAUUUUUGUAUAGUAAUUGUUAAUUGAAUUGAUUAUUGAUUGCUUUAACUAUGCACAAAUUCCCAGUCAAGUUGGAUAAAUGGCCAGGUGCAAAGGUUUCAUGCUUGAGGUCUUUUUGCUGACGAUACAAUGCACAAAAUGAUAAUCUGGGUGAGUUUACUUCAAACUGACCUAGCACAAGUAUUUCACAAUAUCUGUCCCUCAAAUAAGUUCCACAAAAAUAAACAUAUAUAAAAUGAAGUGCCAUGUGCCUUAUAAUUGAGUUUCAUUUUCUGGUAAUUCGCCAAGGUAAUACUCCCAGAAGACAUCCUUUAUUGGGUUUUGGUAUCUGAUCCUUUUAUGUCUAAGAGGUAUUUCAGUUACAUAAAUAUCGUUGAGGCAUUUGCUUCCUGCACAUAGCAUUUUGCCUCUAGCUAGUCAUAGAGGCAUUUGCUUAAGUUCAAUGCAGCCAUAUUCGGAGCUGUUUAGAGAAAAGCAAAAGACGCUAUAAAGAUGCCUUUAUUUGGGAAGAGCUUGUCGACCUGCAAUAUUUGCAGCUGCCUUGUCAGUCCACGUUGGUUUUAGAUUUCUUUCCCAAGUCUGGAUUUUCUAUUUAGGACAACAAAUUUAUGAGUUUCAAGCUCGGUUUAGAAUGCUGGAAAAUAGACUAAGAGAAUGAGGGAUGGUGCUUUUCUUUCGGAUCAACAUUCAUCUCUUUUAGCCCAGUCCUAGCUUUUCAGUUUCCUGAAAUCAAGCCAACUCAUAGUUAUUCUGCUGUUGAUUGUUGGCAACAUACCUCCAUCACGAUGAAGGAGAGGGCUUGGACAUGGUGCCAUCAAUCCUGUCUAAGCACCUACGCAGGUUAUUAUUUGAUACAAGCUGUUUCGGAAACAAGUACAAUGAAUAUCAGCAUAGCAUAUAGGAAAAAGGUUGCUCUGUUCAACUUGCUGUAUUUCUUUAACUUUUGAUAAUCGAAACAUUUAUGAACAUGCUCUGGAUAAACAUAUUUGAGAAUCUGGACUAAAAGAGUUAUGUGAUGUGCAGUAGAUUUCGAUUAAAGAGGUAUUUCUGGAAUAAUGUGAAUCUUGUAUUUCAUUGUUGUUAUCCUGCCUUGUUCUAUUUGUGAAAGAAAUGCAUAUAUGCCAGCUAUUUUCUGUUGUGACCAACUAUAUGUGAUUGAGCCAAGUAUAUGCCUCUGUUUAAACUAGGUUACUUUGUUUUCUCGAAUACUUUGAGGUUUUCUUAAACUAGGUUACUCAUGUUCUAGAAGUUUUUUCUUAUCUACUGAGGUAUUCCUUCGAUUUUGAACAAGUGAGAAGGGAAAAGUUAUUAGCUUAUUCUCCAUUCAACAUCAUUUUGACUUGUGGAAUCUAUCACUCAUAUUAGCCUUCCUGAUAUGUUGCCUGUUUUGUGAUAUUUGAAUAUGUUUGCAGUUGCACUGGAAUGAAAUAUUGAUUCCAUAGUAACCUCCCUGGAUGCCACAUACCCCUGAAAAGUUUAUGCAUCCUAGUGUUUUCGAUGCAAUGAGAGGCAUUUGAGGAACAUGUUUAUGUAUAGAAUCAUGGUAAGAGCUUAAGGUAACAGAUUUUCAGAAGCUUUAAUUUCUUCUUUUACUUGUUUGAAAUAGGCCUGUCAUUCUUCUAGCAUCCAGCUUCUAGGUUCCGUUCCAUAGUUAAAGUUUCUAUGUUA